rnacentral:rRNA from 1 species
GACAGAGGGUGCAAACGUUGCUCGGAAUCACUGGGCGUAAAGGGCGUGUAGGCGGGAAGGAUAGUCAGAUGUGAAAGCCCUGGGCUCAACCCAGGAACUGCAUUUGAAACUCCCUUUCUUGAGUGUCGGAGAGGAAAGCGGAAUUCCUGGUGUAGAGGUGAAAUUCGUAGAUAUCAGGAGGAACACCGGUGGCGAAGGCGGCUUUCUGGACGACAACUGACGCUGAGACGCGAAAGCGUGGGGAGCGAACAGG